rnacentral:rRNA from 1 species
AUUGACCGCUGGCGGCAGGCCUAACACAUGCAAGUCGAGCGAGCGGCGGACGGGUGAGUAAUGUAUGGGGACUGCCCGAUAGAGGGCGAUAACUACUGGAAACGGUAGCUAAUACCGCAUACUAUCGGAUAACCCAUAUGGUAUUAGCUAGUAGGUGAGGUAAUGGCUCACCUAGGCGACGAUCCCUAGCUGGUCUGAGAGAAUGAUCAGCAAAACUGGGACUGAGACACGGCCCAGACUCCGACGGAGGCAGCAGUGGGGAAUAUUGCACAAUGGGCGCAAGCCUGAUGCAGACAUGCCGCGUGUAUGAAGAAGGCCCUAGGGGUGUAAAGUUCUGUAAUUCGGGAGGCGUUACCGACAGAAGAAGCACCGGCUAACUCCGUGCCAGCAGCCGCGGUAAUUC